AUGACCCAUAUCCGCCCCCUCCGGUUCUGCUGAAACUGCUGUUUCACUGGAUUGGAUGUCAAGAUAAAGUAAUUAUUCUCUUUUUAAACUUCUGGUUUGAGUUUCUGUCUUGCAAUAUGUUUAUAUUUAUGGUUUUAUAAAGUGCAAAGUAAUCAAAAUACACAGCGUUUAGGCCUGUUUCUCCUGUGUAACUGCAACUGGCAUUGUUGAUUUCACACUAGACUUUGUACUGCAUUCAUUUCAGGUCAUUUAUGGUCAUUAUUAAAGGAUGUGCACAAUGUGUGAAUGUUGUUGUUUUUUUUGGAGGCAUAAAUUCAGAUCUGUGAAUUCAGAUUGAACAAAGAUGUUUGAUCAAUAGAGGAUGUAAAUGUAACCGAAUGGACUGAUCUCUUGGCUAAGAGUUUUCAGUGCUGUUGAGUCUGAAGUAACUUAAAGUGGAGCGUGACCACAGCUUUACUAUAUUUAUGCUGCACACAUUAAGAUGUUUUUUUUUUUUUUAAGGAAAAAAAAAUCUGAAUAAACUUAAAAUAUUUUCAUAAGGAAGAGGGUCAUAUUUACAUCCAAAUGAUGGUAAUCUACUCAGAAAAGAACCCACAUCGUGGCUUUAAAAUGCUUAAAUAUUCCUGUAGCUCAAACAAUUGGCCGUGAUGCUACGCCAAGGUCAUGGGUUCGAUUCCCAGGGAAUCCAUGAGAGACAAAACUGUAUAUCUUAAAUGCGUCACUUCGGAUUAAAAUUGUUCGUCAAAUGCUUACGUCAUCAUAAAUGUAAAUAAUAAUAAGUUAAUUGGGAGCUAAAUUGUUGGAUUGUUUCUUAGUAAAGAAAUUUUAAAUUUACUAGCAAUUUCUCAAUGAAAAUUGUUUCUACACCUUUUUUAGUGUAUCUAUCACUACAUGUGGAACUUGCAUCAAGCCCGACAGAUGUCUUAUUUCAACCCCUAUUAUAGCUUCACCAUCUUUUCAGAGUCAGCGGCACUAAGCUCUCAUUGCCAGCUUUAUAAGCUAUCCUUCCUACAGUUAGCUGAAGGAGUGCUGUAAUUACACAUGAACCCUUGCUGCAGCUUUUCCUUUGUCAGCCUAAAAGAACCAGAAGGCCAAUCUCAGGGUGGCUGUGACAUUACCUUCAGAUUGAAAGUUGAAGAAACUCUUUGAAAGAGAACAUCUAUUCAACCAAGUCUCAAAAAGAAAAUCAUUUCUGCAAACCUCACACUCCGAAUCCACCAGCACAUCCACCUGUUGGAGGUUUCGGAGACCGGUUUGGUCCGAGCCGUGGCUUGUCUUCAGGUGGGAUUUGCUGAUGAAAAUCUCAUAAUCUAGCUUUAAUUGUUUGAGCAUGACCCUGCUUGACCCGGUUAAUGGGAAUGGCCCUGAUUAACGAUGUGUGCUCAGUCACACAGUGGGAGGCACCGCCCACACCCACGAGUCAUUGGUUCAUUAAUUAAUUUAUUAAUUAAAGGGUAACAAUGAAGCAGAAACAAAGAAGCAGCCAAAGGACAAUGAGUGGGGGUGAUGGUCCUUCUGCAUUAUGGUGUUAAAAAUGAUUUAUGUGCAUACUCAUAGUGAUUGAUAAUUAUGAAACAUCAAGCUAUAUCAAAUUGCUCAUAGUUUAAAAUUAAGCACUGAAUUAGGAAAGGAUGAUAUUGUGAUAUGUAACUUAAUCAUAAAUAUAAUAGGAGAGGAAAGGUGGCAUGAUUUUUUUUUUUUAGAGAGAUAUUUGAUGGCCAGUGUUUCUAGUUGCAGUGAGUUUAAAACAAAACCAUCUAAUCAGUGAAAAACAUUAUUUUACUAAUUAUUCCUAUUAAGUAUUUAAUUUGGGGGUUAAGUAUUUCUUGUUUGCUAAGUAUUCCUAUUUUUGAUGGUUCUAGAACAAACAAAGAUAGUACCUGGAACAAACCAUUUGUUCAGUUAAUCUCAAAUAAUGUUCAAAUAAUCUUAAUUUUGAACUAUUAAAAUGUUUUUCUUGCUUGGAAUUUAGUGCACAAAUUAUAACUUUAUGGUUCUUUAAUGGUGAUUUUUGUUGUUAUUUUUGCAGCUUUUAUAAAAAGAAACAGUUUGUACGUUUUGUUUACUAGAAAAAGAUCUAAGUCAAGCAUUGGAAUGACAUGAGGGUGAGUAGCCUAAAUGAUGAGAGAUUAUUUCUUUAAUAAAUUUCAAAUUAAAUAUACA
ensembl:lncRNA